rnacentral:rRNA from 1 species
GAUGAACGCUAGCGGCAGGCCUAACACAUGCAAGUCGAACGGUAACAGUUCCUUCGGGAAGCUGACGAGUGGCGCACGGGUGCGUAACGCGUAUGCAAUCUGCCUUGUACUGGAGUAUAGCCCAGGGAAACUUGGAUUAAUCCUCCAUAGUCUAUAUGAUUGGCAUCAUUUAUAUAGUAAAGGUUACGGUACAAGAUGAGCAUGCGUCCUAUUAGCUAGUAGGUGUGGUAACGGCACACCUAGGCUUCGAUAGGUAGGGGUCCUGAGAGGGAGAUCCCCCACACUGGUACUGAGACACGGACCAGACUCCUACGGGAGGCAGCAGUGAGGAAUAUUGGACAAUGGGCGAAAGCCUGAUCCAGCCAUGCCGCGUGCAGGAAGACGGCCCUAUGGGUUGUAAACUGCUUUUAUACGGGAAGAAUAAGGCCUACGUGUAGGCUGAUGACGGUACCGUAAGAAUAAGCACCGGCUAACUCCGUGC